GCCCCCGGGAAACCGCGGGGGAUGAGCGCCUCGGCGAGCCGUGAUUCCCCUUCGCUCCCCGGGGGCACA
rfam:Thermococcus sp. 5-4, complete genome.